ACUGCGUGGCGCCUAAAGGCCGGGGAGCCCCUGCAGCUGUGAGGACGCGGAAGAGCUGGCGGCCGGGAAGAGGUCGCCAAAGGCACCAUACCAGCGGCCAGCUCCAGGCCAAGCCCAGCGAGUCUGCAGGAGCCAGACCCUUCACCCUUCACCUGGCUUGGGACGCGGAGCUGCGGGAAGAUGUUUCUAUAAUAUUGUAGUUCAGCGUAGAUGCAACGCCAGGGCGCCGCCUAGAGGUCAGCCGCGGCCUCUGCGACACCAGCCCACGACCAUGGAGCUGCUCCAGCCUCGGACGCGAGGGGAUGUAAACCGUUUGAAGUUCAUCCACACGGUGAAGUUUUAUUGUAUUUCCGGUCCCCAAGAUUUACACCCGGGAGGGGGAGCGGGCGGCCGGGCGGACGGCCUCGCUCCCUAGGACUUCCCCGCCGGACACGUGGCCGCGGACACUCACCUCCCGGGCGCGGGCGGGAGGGAGCGGGCGGGACAGGACGCCGUCGCUUCCCGCCG